rnacentral:rRNA from 1 species
CCUACGGGUGGCAGCAGUGGGGAAUAUUGGACAAUGGGGGCAACCCUGAUCCAGCCAUGCCGCGUGUGUGAAGAAGGCCCUCGGGUUGUAAAGCACUUUCAGUGAGGAAGAACGCCUGGUGGUUAAUACCCAUCAGGAAAGACAUCACUCACAGAAGAAGCACCGGCUAACUCCGUGCCAGCAGCCGCGGUAAUACGGAGGGUGCGAGCGUUAAUCGGAAUUACUGGGCGUAAAGCGCGCGUAGGUGGCUUGAUAAGCCGGUUGUGAAAGCCCCGGGCUCAACCUGGGAACGGCAUCCGGAACUGUCAAGCUAGAGGGCAGGAGAGGAAGGUAGAAUUCCCGGUGGAGCGGUGAAAUGCGUAGAGAUCGGGAGGAAUACCAGUGGCGAAGGCGGCCUUCUGGACUGACACUGACACUGAGGUGCGAAAGCGUGGGUAGCAAACAGGAUUAGAUACCCUAGUAGUC